AUUCCAGCUCCAAGAGCGUAUAUUAAAGUUGUUGCAGUUAAAAAGCUCGUAGUUGGAUUUCUGGUCUAAUGCGCCUGGCCCGCUGCCGUUAGGUAUGUGAGUGCCGGUGCGCGUUUACCAUCCUUCCAGAGAACACUUCUACCAUUUAUUUGGACGGAUGUUGUCUUCUGGAUCUUUUACUUUGAAAAAAUUAGAGUGUUUAAAGCAGGCCUUUGCUGUGAAUACAUUAGCAUGGAAUAAUAAUCUAGGACUUCGGUUCUAUUUUGUUGGUUUCGAACACCGGAGUAAUGAUUAACAGGGACAGUCAGGGGCACUCGUAUUCCGCCGAGAGAGGUGAAGUUCUCAGACCAGCGGAAGACGAACCACUGCGAAAGCAUUUGCCAGGGAUGUUUUCAUUA
rnacentral:rRNA from 1 species